rnacentral:rRNA from 1 species
UACGUAGGGCGCAAGCGUUAUCCGGAAUUAUUGGGCGUAAAGAGCUCGUAGGCGGUUUGUCGCGUCUGCCGUGAAAAGUCCGGGGCUCAACUCCGGAUCUGCGGUGGGUACGGGCAGACUAGAGUGAUGUAGGGGAGACUGGAAUUCCUGGUGUAGCGGUGAAAAUGCGCAGAUAUCAGGAGGAACACCGAUGGCGAAGGCAGGUCUCUGGGCAUUAACUGACGCUGAGGAGCGAAAGCAUGGGGAGCGAACAGG